rnacentral:rRNA from 1 species
GAUGAACGCUGGCGGCGUGCCUAAUACAUGCAAGUCGAGCGAACGGACGAGAAUCUUGCUGCUCUGAUGUUAGCGGCGGACGGGGGAGUAACACGUGGAUAACCUACCUAUAAGACUGGGAUAACGUCGGGAAACCGGAGCUAAGACCUGAUAAUAUUUUGAACCGCAUGGUUCAAAAGUGGAAGACGGUCGUGCUGUUACUGAUAGAUGGUUCCGCGCUGCAUUAGCUAGUUGGUAAGGUAACGGCUUACUAAGGCCACGAUGCAUAGCCGACCUGAGAGGGUGAUCGGCCACAGUGGAACUGAGACACGGUCCCGACUCCUACGGGAGGCAGCAGUAGGGAAUCUUCCGCAAUGGGCGAAAGCCUGACGGAGCAACGCCGCGUGAGUGAUGAAGGUCUUCGGAUCGUAAAACUCUGUUAUUAGGGAAGAACAUAUGUGUACGUAGCUGUGCACAUCUUGACGGUACCUAAUCAGAAAGCCACGGCUAACUACGUG